rnacentral:lncRNA from 1 species
GUAUUUUACAGAGAGCCGACAAGGAAUUCCAUUAAUAACUGGCCGUUUUGAUCCUUUGGAACAACUCGAUGAAUUUAGUAGAUCGUUUUAGGAGGCCCUAAUGACUAUAGAUCGAACCUAUCCAAUUUUUACAGUACGAUGGUUGGCUGUUCACGGCCUAGCUGUACCUACCGUCUUUUUUUUGGGAUCAAUAUCAGCAAUGCAGUUCAUCCAACGAUAAACUUAAUCCGAAUUAUAGAGCUACGACACAAUCAAACCCGAACGAACAAAAUGUUGAAUUGAAUCGUACCAGUCUCUACUGGGGGUUAUUACUCAUUUUUGUACUUGCUGUUUUAUUUUCCAAUUAUUUCUUCAAUUAAGAAAACGAAAGAGAAUAAAUAAGAUUCUCUUAGCUCAUUCGGAAGGAUCUCAUAAUUUAAUUAUCCAUGACUGUUUAUGUCUCUAGCAUGACCACUUGAUGAAAUCUGGAGGGAAGUGGGGUAAAUGGCCGAUACUACUGGAAGGAUUCCUCUUUGGAUAAUAGGUACUGUAGCUGGUAUUCUUGUAAUCGGUUUAAUAGGUAUUUUCUUUUAUGGUUCAUAUUCCGGAUUGGGUUCAUCCCUGUAGUAAUCGACUGAAUUGAGUUGUCAACAUGAAAGCGUAAGAACUUAACGGGAUUCCCUUCUUUGUUUGUUUGAUUCGAAGGGGAAGGGCCCGUUGAGUUCUUAAGAAUCAUAAUAUUUUUUUCGUCUAAAUGCUAAAACGGAUUUCUUUUUCUUUUCAAAAACUCCGUUUUUCUCAUUUUUCUGAGCAUGUUUUUGAAAAAUUCACUUCAUUGAGUUAGUCAGACCACCUCUUCUUUUUAUAUGAUAGUAUCUAUCGGUACUUUCAAAGUUGGAAGAAAGAAGGAAGAACUCAAUUUCUUGGCUGCUAUCAUAUAUUAGAUAGCGUGCAAAUCCUUUCUAUACUAAUCUAAUGUAGAACCUUACUCUCUAUAUUACAUUACUCUAUUGAUUUUUUAUUGUUUUCCUAUUUCAUCAUCAAAUUUUUUAUAAGAUAAGUUGAUUGAAGAAGUUUUAUUUAAUUAAUAAAAUUUCCUCUCUUUUUUGUUUUGUUUGUCCACCAAUUCAUAUAUUAUAUGUAAGGGGGUAGGUGUAGGGUUUCUGAUACAUCUGGAAAAAUUGAAACCAAGACUAGGAAUUUUUAACAAACAGGAUCAAGAAUCAUUACUCUUUCGUUUCGACACAAGAAAAAAGGAUUUUUCUACACCCCUUUCUUGUGUCGAAGACUAGGAAGACAAAUAAUCCCUCCUAGAAUUUUUUCUUCCCCGCAUUUAUCCCCCGCUUCCUUAUGUCUAGUAUUUAGACAAAUUUGACUUUCUUUCUAUUUAGAAUAGAAAACUAUUGAUACGUUUUAUGGCAGUGAAAUCUGGCAAUAGUAACAUAGUUACACUACUCCAAUUAAAAAAAACUAAAUCAAAAUAAAUGAAAGCCAAAUACUCUUCUUCAAAAUCUACAUACUAUGUGGUACAAGGGAUUCCCAGCAUCUCGUAGAAAAAGAGUAUGUAAUGUAGAUUUUGAAGAAGAGUAUAAAUAAGACAAAGGAGUUUUCAUAAUUUCAUUUUUUUGAUCAUAAAUAAUCGCCAACAAGAAUUUGGUUCUUUUUACGUACUUGAUAUCGAUAAAUCUGCGAAUCUAGAAAUUCAUUUCGGCCAAUUGAACCUUCUCGAACUGUUUCUUUUUAAGAACCAAAAAGAUUUGUGCCAAAAUAACAGAUGCCAAGAAGAACAAAAGUCCUUGGACACGUAAUGGAUCUUGAAGUACUAUUUCUGCAUCUCCCUGACCAAAUCCGCCUACAUUAGGAUUACUCGUUAAUGGUUGAUCAAAUUUGAUAGAUUCGCCCUCGGAAACAAGAAGUUCUGGUCCGGGAGGGAUAAUAUCAACCACUUGACGUCCCUCCGACGCAUCCGUUAUGGUUAUCUCAUACCCCCCUUUUUCUUUUCGUAUGAUUUUGCUUACUAUACCUGCUGCUGUAGCAUUAUAAACUGUAUUGUUACUCUUGUUGCCGUCGGGAUAAAUCUGACCCCUUCCCCUGUUCCCGCCUACGUAUAUAGGAUAUUUUAAGAAGUGAACAUCCUUCUUAGUAGCAGGGUCCGGGGAAAGAAUAGGGAAGGUUAUUUCACUAUAUUUUUUACCAGGGACAGGGCCUACCACAAGAAUAUUUGUUUUAUUGGGGCGAUAGCUCUGAAAAGACAAAUUGCCAAUCUUUUCUUUCAUCUCAGGAGAAAUACGAUCGGGAGGAGCUAAUUCAAACCCCUCCGGUAAAAUAAGAACAGCUCCGACGUUCAACCCCCCUUUUUUACCAUUAGCAAGAACCUGUUUCAGUUGCAUAUCAUAAGGAAUUCGAACAACUGCUUCAAAUACAGUAUCAGGAAGUACCGCUUGUGGAACCUCAAUUUCCACGGGCUUAUUAGCUAAAUGGCAAUUGGCACAUACAAUACGCCCAGUCGCUUCUCGUGGAUUUUCAUAACCCUGCUGUGCAAAAAUGGGAUAUGCACUUGAAAUGGACGUCCGAGUUAAGAUAUAUAUCAUGAGCGAUACGGAAAUAGAUCGAGUAAUCUGUUUCUUUAGCCAAGAAAAAGCAUUUCUAGUUUGCAUGGUCCAAUCAUUGAUCGCGAAAAUUUCUACAAUAAAUUGGGUAGGUCGCUAGUAUAGUUCCCUAGCCACGAUUCUGCUAUUUGCUGGAAUAAUCUAGGAUGAAUCUUCCCGAUGGUUAGAAAUAGGAAGAGUAAAUAUGAUUUUCAAUACUUUGCUUAUGUACAACUACAAAGUACUAAGCAUUCUAAUUGGAUUAGAUUAAUAUCAAUGGAUCCUUUAUCAUUCAGUUAUUGAAUCAUAAAGCAGUAAAAUUGACGGAGACAGACUAGUUAAAUAACGGAAAAGCCAAUAUUUAAAACAUGUAUCAAAAAUUACUGGAAGGAUGCAAACAAGAAUAGUUAUAGUUUGCUCAUUCGCAACAACUCCAACCUCGUUAUAGAUAGAGCGUAUAACGAAUUCCCAACCUGGGGGUGAAUGAUAUCCGAGAAAAAACUCACUUACUAGAAGAAUACACAAAGCUUUUGCUGUGUCACUUAAGUUAUAUAGGAAUUCCUGAGCCCAAGAGUUAAGAAUAACAAGUUUUUCCUUACCCAAAAUUGAAUACCCGCUUAGAAUACCAAACCAGAUUAUAUUUGUUGAGAAGUGCAAAAUCGUAUCCAUACGAUUCUCAUUUUGUAUCGUGAUUAAUUGGAUCGUUUCUUUAUGGAUUCCUAUCCCAAACUCUUCGAGAUGUGUUUCCGAGUAUUCCUUGAUCAUUUCGUCCAAGAAGAGGAGUUCCUCUAAUUCUCUGAAUUUUUCUAGAAGACUCUUUUCUUGAAUAUUAUUCAAGACAAUUUGGGAUUGCCCAGUAUUCCACCAAUUAGUAACCCAAGAUUCCAGCCAUUUAUUAACUGAGAAAGAAAUCCACCAGGGCAAAAAUACUAUAGAUGCAAGAUAGAAAAGAGGAGUGAAUGCUUUCUUUUUUGCCAUUUUUUCGUCUGUAAAUUGUUAAUCAACCCAUUCGUACACUCUAUGCGAUCGAAUAUUUCUUACACACAUGAGUUUUAUACAAGGUAUCGAACUUAUGAAUCUAUUUUCUUUGUGAUUUUGUGGUUAGUCUUUGAAUCUAGAAAGAAUACAGAAAUAGGCUAAGAAUUCACUUCGAAUGAAGAAAUUGAGAAUAUUGUUUCCUGAUAUCUCAAUUGGUCAAAUUAAAAAUUAAGUGUAUCCUUUCGAUGAAUGACCGAAAGAACCACUUUAAGUAAUGAAUAUUAUUCAGAUUUUGAGACGAAAGAACUCCUUUGCUAUCAAAAUAUCCAAUAUUUCGAAAAAAUUUCAUUGAUUACCCAUAGUCAGGAAUAGAAUAAUUGAGGGAAAGAUAUUAGGAUGAUAAAAAAAAAAUGACUAGCAAAGGAUAAAUUGGCUAGUUCUCAGUAUUUAAUUAAGAAAUCCAAUUGUUGGUCAUUAAAGAAUACAAAAGAAAGAAUUUCAAAUUUACAAGAUACGAUCUAUCUGGAUCUAAAGUGUCAAUUCCAACAAAUAUUGAACUAAAAAAAAUUCUUGCUUUCGAAAUGGUUUGCCGUCUGAGAUGAAUCUAUUAUUUCGAUUUGUUAUUUGUUAUUGAAUUGCGUGCACAUAAAGACCAUAAAAAGAGUUUCGUUUUAUGGUUCUUUCAUAUACGUUUUCUUUAAUUGAAUGAACGUUCUGAUUCUCAAUUUAUCAAAAUACUUCAAUUGGUACACGCAAGAAAUAGGCUAAUUCAGCAGCCUUUUGUUCAAUUUCUCGUGGAGUCAAAUUCUCAUCAGUACGGGUCAAGGGAAUGGACCCCUGGCCUCGGAUGUCCAUAUAAAGAACACGACGAGCAUAAAUACCCUCUUUAACUUCUAUUCUAACGGACUGAAUAUCUUUUAUAAGGAAUCGGAGGAAUAUGCGACGAUUUUUUCCCGGAAAUCCCCAACGAAAGAUACAGACUAUUCCCUCCUUUCUAUCGAAUCGAUCAUAACCACUACCUACAUUCCAGGAAAUUGUGCACCACAAAUAAGAGCUAAUAAAGAGACCCGCAAUUCCGUAGAAAGACAUCACGAUUCCUUGUGGAAAAAAAAUGAUUUGCUGAGGCGGAAAAAAAGAUAGCAAAUUUCUACCAAGAUAACUGGAAGUUCCAACUAAUAAGAAGCCUAAUGAACCUAAAAAAAGGAUCAAGGCCCAGCAGAAAUUACUUAUUUUUCGAGACCCCGUUAUAAGUUCUAUCCAUAUAUCGUCUGAUCGCCAAGUCAUACUUUACUCGAUUGCAUUUUAUUGGAAUUGAGAUAAUACCCCAGAAAAAUUUGACUUUACUUUUUUGUUUCCGAAGUAACUCUCAUCAACUAGCACUAGUUUGAGGUGAACUAGCACUAGUUUGAUGUCAACCUUUAGGAGUAAUUCAUCAAAUUGGUUAAAUCUAAAAUAAUAACAUACUCUUUAUUUAAUACGAUCCCACUAUACAUAUCGAUAUACAUAUAGAUUCACCGACUACAUUUCAGCCAUCCAGAGAUCCUGAUCUAUUUGAAAAUUGCUAGAAUUGAUAUAUCCAUAUAUCAUGUUUCUGCGGGCAUAAGAGUUUUUUCCUUUAUGUUCGGUGGAAAUCACAUGUUAUACUAUACUCCAAUAAAUAGAUAUCCGUGUUAUGAUACAAGUCCACGUUUUCAAAAAAAAAAAUGGAUGAGAUUGGGUCCCAGCGGAUCUAAACAAUCUUGUUUUUUUGAACAUGAAGAAAUAAAGAAGCCAUUGCAAUUGCCGGAAAGACUAGGCCUACUAACGGCACAAAAAUAGAUGGAAGGUUCAAAUUUGUCAUAGAAGGGGUACCUCGAUUUACUAUUUGUAUCUGUUAUUAUGUUAUUAUAUAAAUAAAGAUAUCUUGUAAUAAUUAUAAUUAAAUUAAGAAUUUGAAUUCUAAUUAGAUAUUAGAUAAUAUUUAUUAUUAAUAGAAUUUGAAGAAUUUGAAAUUCUUAGUAUAGAUCGAAGUAUCGAUAUAUCUAAAUCUAACUGAGUACGUAUAAUAAGAAUAAGUGCAAAGAAUGUAGAACUGUAGAACUAAAUAAAUGGACUUAUUCAUCUCCUCCAUGAGAAAGAUAUGUAUGAUAAUAAACUUUAUUAUUUUUCUUCAUUUCUUUGUCUUUUGUUCUUGUCUUCUACUUUUCUAAAAAUAGAUAAAGAGUUUUUUACAGAUUAUCGACGGAUUCAUUCGAAUCCGACCCAACAUGGAUUUUUAGCUAAAAUGGUUUUUCGGUAGAUAGAGAAAGAUACAAAACUCUAUUAUCUCUAUUGAAAUUUCAAAUUAUAUACCUAAGACAAGACCAAAUUCGUUUUAUUUUACUAAUUUCACGAAAGGAAGAACUCACUCUUGGUGAUAAAGGUUUCUUGAUUCGUAAUCAGGAAUAUAGGUCAAAAAAAGAGUUAUCCUCAACUUUCGUUUUAAUUCUUUCUACAAUUCGAUCUUCUAUCACCAAAGAAAAGGCCAUUAUUAUCUUAUUUACUUUGAUUCCGAUAAACUAACUACUUUUUGCUACAAACACAAAAAAAAUAAUUGAACUUAGUGCUCUACUUGAUUUUGCUUGACUUUUGAUUCAAAGGAAAAAAGGCGUGGAGCUUAAAUAACUCACUCAGAACGCUUUUUAAAAGAUUACGUGGUACAAUUAGGUCGAAUAAACCCUUCUGGAAUAAGUAUUCAGCUGCUUGUGAACCUUCGGGUACUGUUUUAUUCAAUGUUUGUUCAAUUACUCUUUUACCUGCAAAUGCAAUGUAGGCAUUGGGUUCGGCAAUAAUGAUAUCCCCCAACAUACCAAAACUAGCUGUCACUCCACCAGUUGUCGGAGAUGUAAGGAUUGAUACAUAAAAUAAUUUUUUAUUUAAUUGAUAAUCAUAUAAAGCAGACGAUAUUUUAGCCAUUUGCAUCAAGCUCAAACUUCCUUCCUGCAUGCGCGCCCCCCCAGAAGCACACACUAUCAUAAGAGGUAAAUUUUGAUUGGCAGCGUGUUCAAUCAAACGGGUGAUUUUCUCUCCGACUACGGAUCCCAUACUACCCCCCAUAAACUGAAAAUCCAUAACCCCAAUUGCUACGGGAAUGCCGUUUAGUUGGCCUAUGCCUGUUUGAACAGCCUCGGUUAAUCCUGUCUUUCUUUGAUAAGAAUCAAUACGGUCCUUAUAAGGCUCCUCCUCCGAAUGAAAUUCAAUGGGAUCCAGCGAGACCAUGUCUUCAUCCAUAGGAUCCCAAGUACCCGGAUCGAUCAAAAGUUCAAUUCUAUCCGAACUACUCAUUUUCAAAUGAUAUCCACAUUGUUCACAAAUAUUCAUUUUUGAUUUCAAAAAUUUCUUAUAAUUUAAUCCAUAACAAUUUUCGCAUUGAACCCACAAAUGCUUGUAUUUUUGAGUUACCUCGAGAUCAUUAGAACUUUCUCUUAUAGUUAAAUCACUGUCCUUUGUGCGAGUUCGUCUACUGGAACCCUCGUUUUCACUACUAUUUAGACUUUGACCACUACAAAUGGCCCUAUAAAUGUAACUGUCACCGUUACUCUCACUACCACUUAUAAUGGAAGUAUCUAUACAGAUUUGAGACUGAAGAUAAUUAUCAAUGCAACUAUUAAUGUGAUUAUUCCAACUAUAUUGAGUAUCAUACAUGUAAGAAUUAUAGUAGGGAUCUUCGCCCCUAAAUCCAUUAUUCAGAUAACUCGAGUUUCGAUAACUAUAAAAAGAACUUUCUAGUUCACUCAGAAAAGAAUGAUCGUUGUCAACCUCAAAAAUAUGAUUUUCAAUAUCAAAAUAGAUGGAAUAACUGUCCCCAUUCCUAUCACUAACUAAAAAAGUGUCAUUAGAGAUGAAAUUCCAAAUGUCUUUAACGCCGAAUAAAUAAUCAACAUUACUGCAACUAUGAAUGUUUUUCACUUUUAGAUUUGGAUCUUCACUGGUAUUUUCAAUAGGACCAAGACUGCCCAUUGAUUUAUUUAGCCCACACCUGCGUUCGAACUCCUUCUUAAACAACAUCGAAUUAAACCACCAUCUUUCCAUAGAGUUUUCUUGCCCCCUAUUUGCAUGAAAAUACAAUAGAUGAAUAGUCAUUCGCUAUAAAAUUCUUUAUUUGAAUAUCUUAUUUCCUAUCAGACUAAGCAUAGAAAUCCAAUCACUAGGAUUAUUAACUAAUACGGAUUGUGAGUAUUCAAAAAAAGUUCUGAAUCUGGGGGAACACUUCACUAUAUAUUAAUAUGUUGGAACCCCCUUUUAUUAUUAAAAAGAAUAUAAAAAUAAUAGAAUUUUUGAUAAAGGGCGGCUUCUCCUAUGUCGUGUCAAAUUCGCAUCGAAAAAAAGAGAUUUGUCCUCUCUUAUAAAUAUAAAGAAAUAAAAAAAAUUCGUAAAAUCUCGUCUAAUACUAAUAUCUAAUCACUAACUAAUCUAACAAUCUAAAAUCUAAUAAUAAGUAAUAAAUUAAGGUUCUAUUUCAACACGGAACAAAGGGGACAAUAUACAGGAUGGGUAGAAAGAGUUGGAAUACUUGGCUUGAUUCAGGGAAACUACAAACUACAGGAUAGAAAAGAAUAUACCAAUCCUAAGGAUCCGUAGGAUUAAUUGUGGAUCCAAGACAAUAAUAGAAAGAUUUGAGUCUUAGAUUUUGAUUUAGUUUUCUAGAUUUUGUAUUUCAAAUCUUGAUCAAAAUAUAUGCAAUAGAAUCUUAGUUGUAUUCGGCCCAAUCUUUUACUAAAAGGAUUGAGCCGAAUUAAAUUGUAAUGUAAUUCAAUUAAGAGAACGAAGGAUAAUUACUUGAGUUCUUUCUCCUUAUCCUUCUUUAUUUCCUGCUAAUUUAUCUGCUAAUGUCUACUGUUUUUACUUAUCCAAAACGUCCACUGCUGCAAAAUUAAAUACGAUCUCUUUCCAUACCUCACAAGCAGCAGCUAGUUCCGGGCUCCAUUUGCAAGCCUCGCGAAUAAUCUCAUUACCUUCCCGAGCAAGAUCACGUCCUUCAUUACGAGCUUUUACACAUGCUUCUAGAGCUACUCGAUUAGCUACGGCACCUGGCGCAUUACCCCAAGGAUGUCCUAAAGUUCCUCCACCGAACUGUAGUACGGAAUCAUCCCCAAAGAUCUCGGUCAGAGCAGGCAUAUGCCAAACGUGAAUACCUCCUGAAGCCACAGGUAGAACACCUGGUAAAGAGACCCAAUCUUGAGUGAAAUAAAUACCGCGACUUCUAUCUUGUUCAACAAAAUCAUCACGCAGUAAAUCAACAAAGCCCAAAGUUAUGUCUCUUUCACCUUCAAGUUUACCUACUACGGUACCAGAGUGAAUAUGAUCUCCACCAGACAUACGUAACGCUUUUGCUAAUACCCGGAAGUGGAUACCAUGAUUCUUCUGUCUAUCAAUAACCGCAUGCAUUGCACGGUGGAUGUGAAGAAGUAGACCAUUAUCUCGGCAAUAAUGAGCCAAGGUAGUAUUUGCGGUAAAUCCCCCCGUUAAGUAGUCAUGCAUUACGAUCGGAACGCCCAAUUCUCUAGCAAAUACAGCUCUUUUGAUCAUUUCUUCGCAUGUACCUGCAGUAGCAUUCAAGUAAUGCCCUUUGAUUUCACCUGUUUCAGUCUGUGCUUUAAAAAGUGCUUCGGCACAAAAUAAGAAACGAUCUCUCCAACGCAUAAAUGGUUGUGAGUUCACGUUCUCAUCAUCUUUGGUAAAAUCAAGUCCACCGCGAAGACAUUCAUAAACAGCUCUACCGUAGUUUUUUGCAGAUAACCCCAAUUUAGGUUUAAUAGUACAUCCCAACAGGGGACGACCAUACUUGUUCAAUUUAUCUCUUUCAACUUGGAUCCCAUGAGGCGGACCUUGGAAAGUUUUAACAUAAGCAGGAGGGAUUCGCAGAUCUUCCAGACGUAGAGCGCGCAGGGCUUUGAACCCAAAUACGUUACCUACAAUGGAAGUAAACAUAUUGGUAACGGAACCUUCUUCAAAAAGGUCUAAAGGGUAAGCUACAUAAGCAAUAUAUUGAUCUUUUUCUCCAACAACGCGCUCGAUGCGGUAGCAUCGCCCUUUGUAACGAUCAAGACUGGUAAGUCCAUCGGUCCAUACAGUUGUCCAUGUACCAGUAGAAGAUUCGGCAGCUACCGCGGCCCCUGCUUCUUCAGGUGGAACUCCAGGUUGAGGAGUUACUCGGAAUGCUGCUAAUAUAUCAGUAUCCUUGGUUUGGUACUCAGGAGUAUAAUAAGUCAAUUUGUACUCUUUAACACCAGCUUUGAAUCCAACACUUGCUUUAGUCUCUGUUUGUGGUGACAUAAAUCCCUCCCUAGAACUCAUGAAUUAAAAAUUAUCACAACAACAAGGUCUACUCGACAUGAAUUCCGCGUUAAUGAAACUUUUCACAGGAAUCUGUCACAAAAUUUCCAACUAAUACUAAUAUUAUCAAUUAAUCAGAAUGGUUGAUUAUUAGACCAUGGUAUUUGAUUUGCCAAAUACAUCAUUAUUGUAUACUCUUUCAUAUAUAUAGCGCAACCCAAUUUUGAUUUUUUAUCUUUUUUUUUUUUGAAAUGGAAAUACCUAGCUAACCUAAAUAAUAAGAACUUCCCCCUUGACAGUGGUAUAUGUUGUAUAUGUAAAUCCUAGAUGUGAAAAUAUAUGGAAUUCCUCUAUGAAUCUAUGAAAGGUAUAAAAAAGAAAGAAAAACGCAAAGAAAAGAAUAGGCUAGGCAUAAAUCGAUAUGCUGAAAUUGAAAUAAAAAAGAAAUAAGAAGAGGAGCCCAUUAGAUACAAAUAAUGAAUCGUAAUAGAAAUAGAAAAUAAAGUUCAGGUUCGAAUUCCAUAGAAUCGAUAAUAUGGAUGGGCUUGUCUAUAAUGGUAGACAAAUGAAAGACUUUCUCAAGAUUUUGAUUCAUCCACUUGAGAUUGUUAAAUGAAAAUAGGUUGGGUGAGCUGCCAAAUUAACUCAGUCUCAUUGAAUAAGUAAACAAUUGGAUUGGUUCAAUUGCAUGGUGCCAACGAAAUCGAGUGCUAAUUCCGAUUUUAUUGAAUUAACCGAUCGACGUGCUAGCGGACAUUUUUUUUGAAUUCGAUAAUUUUGGAAAAAACAUUUCGACAUAUUUAUUUUAUUAUUAUGAGAAUCAAUCCUACUACUUCUGGUUCUGGGGUUUCCACGCUUGAAAAAAAAAACCCGGGGCGUGUCGUCCAAAUCAUCGGUCCGGUACUAGAUGUAGCCUUUCCCCCGGGCAAGAUGCCAAAUAUUUAUAACGCUCUGGUAGUUCAAGGUCGAGAUAGUGUUGGUCAACCAAUUAAUGUGGCUUGUGAGGUACAGCAAUUAUUAGGAAAUAAUCGAGUUAGGGCUGUAGCUAUGAGUGCUACAGAAGGUCUAACGAGAGGAAUGGCAGUGAUUGACACAGGAGCUCCUAUAAGUGUUCCAGUUGGGGGAGCGACUCUGGGACGAAUUUUUAACGUGCUCGGAGAGCCUGUUGAUAAUUUAGGGCCUGUAGAUACUAGUACAACGUCUCCUAUUCAUAGAUCUGCGCCCGCCUUUAUACAGUUGGAUACAAAAUUAUCUAUUUUUGAAACAGGAAUUAAAGUAGUAGAUCUUUUAGCCCCUUAUCGCCGUGGAGGAAAAAUCGGACUAUUCGGGGGAGCUGGAGUGGGUAAAACAGUACUCAUUAUGGAAUUGAUUAACAAUAUUGCUAAAGCUCACGGGGGCGUAUCCGUAUUUGGCGGAGUGGGUGAACGUACUCGGGAAGGAAAUGAUCUUUACAUGGAAAUGAAAGAAUCUGGAGUGAUUAAUAAAGAAAAUAUUGCAGAAUCAAAAGUGGCCCUAGUUUACGGUCAGAUGAAUGAACCGCCGGGAGCUCGUAUGAGAGUUGGUUUGACUGCCCUAACUAUGGCGGAAUAUUUCCGAGAUGUUAAUGAGCAAGACGUACUUCUAUUUAUUGACAAUAUCUUCCGUUUCGUCCAAGCAGGAUCCGAAGUAUCGGCCUUAUUGGGUAGAAUGCCUUCCGCUGUGGGUUAUCAACCGACCCUAAGUACCGAAAUGGGUUCUUUACAAGAAAGAAUUACUUCUACCAAAGAAGGGUCCAUAACCUCUAUUCAAGCAGUUUAUGUACCCGCAGACGAUUUGACCGACCCUGCUCCUGCUACGACAUUUGCACAUUUAGAUGCUACUACCGUACUAUCAAGGGGAUUGGCUGCCAAAGGUAUUUAUCCAGCAGUAGAUCCUUUAGAUUCAACGUCAACCAUGCUUCAACCUCGGAUCGUUGGUGAGGAACAUUACGAAACCGCCCAAAGAGUUAAGCAAACUUUACAACGUUACAAAGAACUUCAGGACAUUAUAGCUAUCCUUGGAUUGGACGAAUUAUCCGAAGAGGAUCGUUUACUCGUAGCAAGAGCGCGAAAAAUUGAGCGUUUCUUAUCACAACCCUUUUUCGUAGCAGAAGUAUUUACCGGUUCUCCAGGGAAAUAUGUUGGUCUAGCAGAAACAAUUCGAGGAUUUCAAUUGAUCCUUUCCGGAGAAUUAGAUGGUCUUCCUGAACAGGCCUUUUAUUUGGUAGGUACUAUCGAUGAAGCUACCGCGAAGGCUAUGAACUUAGAAAUGGAGAGCAAUUUGAAGAAAUGACCUUAAAUCUUAGUGUACUGACCCCUAAUCGAAUUGUUUGGGAUUCAGAAGUGGAAGAAAUUGUUUUAUCUACUAAUAGUGGUCAAAUUGGCAUAUUACCAAAUCACGCCCCUAUUGCCACAGCUGUAGAUAUAGGGAUUUUGAGAAUACGCCUUAACGACCAAUGGUUAACGAUGGCUCUGAUGGGUGGUUUUGCUAGAAUAGGAAAUAAUGAGAUCACUGUUUUAGUAAAUGAUGCGGAGAAGGGUAGUGACAUUAAUCCACAAGAAGCUCAGCAAACUCUUGAAAUAGCGGAAGCUAAUGUGAAAAAGGCUGAAGGAAGGAGACAAAAAAUUGAGGCAAAUCUAGCUCUCCGACGAGCUAGAACACGGGUGGAGGCUAGCAAUCCGAUUUCAUAACUAGUUGGUACGUUCGAAUAAUAAAAAGAAGUUCUCUUUCUAAUCCUAUUUAGAUUCUGUCGGGUGAAUACAAUCAAAUACAAUCAAACAGAAUCCAAUUCUGAUGCAAAAAUUCAAAUUAAAAAAUGAAAUAGAAAAGAUACAAAAUAAAAAAAAAAAAAUAUCACUAAAGGUGGGUUGUAAACCUUAUUAGAUACCAUUGACUCUGGUAUCUAAUAAGUUUUACCUACUAUUGGAUUUGAACCAAUGACUCCCGCCGUAUGAAAGCAGUACUCUAACCACUGAGUUAAGUAGGUCAUUUAUCAUCCCAAAGAGAACCAAACGAAACCCAUCCUGUCGAUGGAUUAUAAAUAUCAUAUUACUUAUAAGCAAUACUAAUAUAAGGAAUACCACUCAAAGAGAUCAAAGAUUCUUGAUGUUGGAUCCUGGAAUAUUUCUCUUGACAAGAAUUUACCUACAUGAUAAAAUAUGUAUCACAAGCACUAAGGGCUAUAGCUCAGUUGGUAGAGCAACUCGUUUACACGCGCGCCAAUGUUUUUCAAGGGAGUUCAUCAUACAAUCAGAAAAAUUGAUCUUGUUGAGAAAUCGAUGUCUUACUCCAUAACUUUGAGGGAACCAUAGCCUGACAAAGGGUUCGGUCCAAUUUGGACGCCCAUUUAGGAGGUGCCAAACAGACCCCAUCAUUGAUUUGAGAUCUUGAUAAGGUGAAUACCCAGUCUAUUCAAUGCUAGGCCAUAAUGAGUAUAAGGACCUCAAAAAAAUCUCUUUUCGUCAUAUGAACUUUAAGGUGUAUGAAGUUUCAUAUUUGAUUUUUAAGCAGAACGAUAGAGACUUCAUUUAACUUAGGUUGAUCUAGGCCAGAGACAGACCUACGUCAAGAUAAUCCCACCUUUGAAACACUUUGGUAAUGCUCCCAAAUAAUGAAUCAGAGCACAUGGAGCCAUUUCCUUAUCUUUUUUUAUGUCAAGAAAAAAAAUGGCAGACUAACUGAUAUUUAGAUCAGUUAAUGAAGGAGCCCAAUGCAAAAAAAAUGCAUGUUGGGUCUUUGAAACAGUUCAGAUCAUUUUAAUAAUAAGAAGUUUGAUCUGUUUUACCGAGAAGGUCUACGGUUCGAGUCCGUAUAGCCCUAUAAAAAUGAAAAAUGCAAAAAAAAAAUUGUAUAAUUUGCAUUUCUUCAUUAUUAUUUCUUGCUUGUAACUAAAUGAAACCCAAUUAUUCCUAUAAGUUUACUCACGGCAAUCGUUUAAGCAGAUGAAAGAAAAAACGCAUAUCAAUGGAUCCAAUAGAUAUUGAUUUUUGCAAUUGCAGAUAAACAAACCAACCUUUCGUCAUUAAUCUUCGGAGGCGAAUUACAUAUUCAUAUCUACAAUAAAAGAAUUAGUGAGACUCCCUUUCUUUUGAUAUCCCCAAUCUUAUUGAAUUUUGGAAGUCAACUCAUUUCACGGGCCUGGUGAAAUGCAAAACUACGACGAGGAAUUCACAUGGAUUUAGGAAAGGCCUGCUGUAUUUGUGUACAAGCUAAGGUUUUUUGAAAAAUGAAUAUCUUUGGUCACUUUCAUUGUCAAAUAGGCUUUUCCUUCGUAUACCUUACUUACCUCGACCUAGCGAAGCACAACAAAAAAGGUAGUCUUCUUUUUCUGUAUUCAACCAAGAAAAACCCCUCCACCUGGAUUCGAAUCCUAAUACUAUUAUUAAAUAUUAAUUCAAUAAUAAUAAAAGGAAUAUACCAACACAAGAUCUUCUAAAUCUUGAGAUGGCAAUUCCUAUACAUUCUCUUCUAUUUGCUUACGUGUUCUAUUCUAAAUCACUAAGAAAAAAAUGAAAAUAAAGACCUCCUGAUUCUAUUUAUAGAAAUAAAUAGAAAUCUUUAAAGAAUUUAUAAUUAAAGAAGAAAUCAGAUAAGUAAUUAAUUUAGAAUUCCCCGUUUUUAGAGAAAAAAACAAGAGAAACAGGAGAAUUUGUCGAAGAGUAAUAUAUAGUUAGAAGGUUCUACUAACUAAAUAAAAUGGAAAUAAGUAUAAUGGAAAUAAAAUCGGAUUCCAGUCGAUGAAUCUUGCAAUGAGAUAUGCCCUACAAUAAACCAAUAAACAAAGCAAACUAGUCGGUUCGACCAAAAUGAAUUCUUGUUUUGACUAAAUAGUUAUGGAUGACUUGACAAUUCCAAUUCGAAUCGACCAAUUGAAUCCGGUAUAUUUUCCACGUUCAUAGGAGUGCGUUUAUGUUUCUGCUUUACGAAUAUGAUUUUUUUUGGGCAUUUCUAAUAAUAUCCAUCCUUGUUCCUAUUUUGGCAUUUUUCAUUUCCGGAGUGUUAGCCCCGAUUAGCAAAGGGCCAGAGAAACUUUCUACUUAUGAGUCGGGUAUAGAACCAAUGGGCGAUGCUUGGUUACAAUUUCGAAUCCGUUAUUAUAUGUUUGCUCUAGUUUUUGUUGUUUUUGAUGUUGAAACGGUUUUUCUUUAUCCAUGGGCAAUGAGUUUCGACGUAUUGGGUGUAUCUGUAUUUAUAGAAGCUUUCAUUUUCGUGCUUAUCUUAAUUAUUGGUUUAGUUUAUGCAUGGCGAAAGGGGGCAUUGGAAUGGUCUUAGCUCCUGAAUAUUCAGACAAUAAAAAGAAAAACGGAAAAAAUAAGAUUGAGACAGUUAUGAAUUCCAUUCAGUUUCCUUUACUUGAUCGAACAGCCCCAAAUUCAGUUAUUUCAACUACAUUAAAUGAUCUUUCAAAUUGGUCAAGACUCUCUAGUUUAUGGCCGCUUCUCUAUGGUACCAGUUGUUGCUUCAUUGAAUUUGCUUCACUAAUAGGCUCACGCUUCGACUUUGAUCGUUAUGGACUCGUACCAAGAUCGAGUCCUAGACAAUCGGAUCUAAUUUUAACAGCCGGAACAGUAACAAUGAAAAUGGCCCCCUCUUUAGUGAGAUUAUAUGAGCAAAUGCCCGAACCAAAAUAUGUUAUUGCUAUGGGAGCCUGUACAAUUACAGGCGGGAUGUUCAGUACCGAUUCUUAUAGUACUGUUCGGGGAGUCGAUAAGCUAAUUCCUGUAGAUGUAUAUUUGCCAGGUUGUCCACCUAAACCGGAAGCGGUUAUAGAUGCUAUAACAAAACUUCGUAAGAAAAUAUCUCGAGAACUCUAUGAAGAUCGAAUUAGGUCUCAACGAGCGAAUCGGUGUUUUACUACCAACCACAAGUUUCAUGUUCGACGCAGUAUUCAUACGGGAAAUUAUGAUCAAAGAGUUCUUUAUCAACCACCAUCUACUUCAGAGAUCCCUACGGAAAUCUUUUUCAAAUACAAAAAUUCAGUAUCUUCCGCCGAAUUAGUGAAUUAGACAGGAUUCCUUUGUCCAGAAUAAGAAGCGGUGGGUCAAUUUUCAUAAAUUUCAUCGUAAAUGUGAAAUACUUAUACAAAUAAAAAUGCGGGAGAGAUAAAAAAGAUGCAGGGUCGUUUGUCUGCUUGGCUAGUCAAGCAUGGGCUAAUUCAUAGAUCUUUGGGCUUUGAUUACCAAGGAAUAGAGACUUUACAAAUAAAGCCCGAGGAUUGGCAUUCCAUUGCUGUCAUUUUUUAUGUAUAUGGGUACAACUAUCUACGCUCUCAAUGUGCCUACGAUGUAGCGCCUGGCGGGCUGUUAGCUAGUGUGUAUCAUCUUACGAGAAUAGAGGAUGGUGUGGCUCAACCAGAAGAGCUAUGCAUAAAAGUAUUUGCCUCCAGGAGGAAUCCUAGAAUUCCGUCUGUUUUCUGGGUUUGGAAAAGCGUGGAUUUUCAAGAACGAGAAUCAUAUGAUAUGUUGGGAAUCUCUUACGAUAAUCAUCCACGCUUGAAACGUAUCUUAAUGCCUGAAAGUUGGAUAGGAUGGCCCUUACGUAAGGAUUAUAUUGCCCCCAAUUUUUAUGAAAUACAAGAUGCUCAUUGAAUGAUAAGAAAGCUAUUUCCACUUAGACAAUUUCAGAUAUUCAAGGAUUGCACGUUUUGUUAUAGAUUAAGUCUAACAACAAAAGACAAUUAGGGAUUCAUUGGAAUUCUCACAUUUAGUUGGAAGAUACUUCUUUCGGAUGGGUCACACCAAUAGGAUGAACCAAAUGAGUUCUGCAUCAUGAACUUUGUACUGCGCACAUUACUUAGACGGGUUCUAGAAAGGCAUAUAGGAAGGAAUGGAGAAAUCGAGAAUAAAGAAAUUUAAUAUGAAAGAAAAGCCAAAGAAAUGAGAUAAUAUCGGAUUCUAUUUCUUUGGAUCUGAGCUGAAUCUUGUCUAUUUCAACCCCCCUAGAUUCGGAUUCUACUUUUGAGCCUUUCCACAAUUAACUAAUUUUACCUUUCUAAUAUGUAUUACGUAUUCAAAUUCGUUUGAACAAGAGGAGAAAAAAAGAGGAGAUAGAAUCCAAUUCUUUUAGAUACUUUAUCUAAGAAACCCUACCCAUCUAUGUUCUAGAUGGGGUAUAUCUCGCUAAACUGGAUAAAGCUAUUAUUCUAAUCUAGACUAUAAAAAAUAUGUAUGUGGAUUCAUAUCAAUUAAUUAGAAAUUCAUUCUAGGGAAGAGAGACCCAUACAAAUUAAUCAUGUGCCAAGAACCAGAUUUGAACUGGUGACACGAGGAUUUUCAGUCCUCUGCUCUACCAACUGAGCUAUCCCGGCUAUUCCCAAUCUCGAUUGGAACCGCUAACAUGAGGAUUUAGAGUCCUUUCCGUAGUAUCCUCAUUUUAUCAUAUAACUGGGGUCUAUGUCAAUUAAAAGGACAAAAGUCGAUUAAAAAAUUUUAUCAAAGCCGGGGGAUUUCUUCGAUCUUCAAAAAGAUGACUUUGUAAGUUUCAGUAUGAGUAAUGAUAUUGUAUUGAUCGGGAAUCAUUCAACUAGGGAUUCCUUGCUCAAAGAUGUUCAUUUCUAUGUGUAUCAUAGAUAUCAAAUUGUGAUAAGAGAAAGCCAUUUACGCUUAGAAAAAAAAUCCAUUUCUAAAAGAAUAGAGUGAAUGAGA